AUCRACUCGUGUCCCCGGGCAAGCCCGCUUUGGGUCCUUGUCCCAUCGUGUCUGCUCACUGUGGCACCUGAAGACGAGAGGGAGGGAAGGAGAUUUAUACCCUGCCUAGGGAUUUAACUGGUUUCAGUUUCGGUGCUGGUUCGGGAGCAGAUCUGCACGGCAAGGAAGAUCUUUGCGCUAGGGCUGGCUGUUCCCGCAGCCCUGGACCUCAAGGACGAGACGCACGAGGUGGAAGACCACUGUUUCCCCUGACACGGAGCGAGAAACCAAGGCCAAGAGAAACAAUUUAUCCAGUUUCCCCCCUUCAGGACUUUGUCGUCAAAACUUUCAUUUUUAUGCUCCAAGUGGAGAAAUCGCUGAUGAUCUUUCGCUCGUUUGCCAAGAAACGGAGAGCACAUCUGUAAAAUAUUACUUAGGCAGAUUGACUACAGUGAGCCAGCAGGCAACGGCUCUGAAAGUUUCUCUACCUGCYGAAAUGCAGCUUAUUGUAGAGCUCGGGGCUCUCCUGCGGCAACAUGUCCUGACCGCACCGCCCGCGAGCGCCGAGCGUUCCUCCAUCAACAUGAUAAAGAAGUACACGCCUUCAAGGUUUUGAGUCAUGUUAAAGUAAAUACAUAUGCACGCUUUUAAAAGCAAUAUUCGUAGAUACGCGCACAUGCACAAAAGGAUCUCUAAGCAAUGUCAUCGGCCUUAGUUUAGACAGCUGUGUGGUCCAAAAAGCUCCAGAUYGGCUAGCUACAAAUAUUUGAAGGUCAAGUACAGGACAAAGCAUUUUAAAAAAAGUAUAAGCAGUGAUGGCUACUGGGCAAUAGCAAGCUGAUUUUAUGUCAUAAGCAGACUUUUUUUYCCCCCCGGGUGUUUCUUUACCAGAAACCUAUCGGGCUGAAGACGUCAUAGCGUCAGAYGGGAAAGCAAACCAAAAGUAGUAAGCAGUUUGGGGCRGUUAUUUAAUCCUCUUUGAAGGGUGUUAUCUCAUUCCAAAUAUUUUAGGAGCCRAGAAAGUUCUGCCAAAGCGCAACUUCAGAGUCAGGAUGCCCAGCAGCCAGGUUAUCAGGCAACCAUAGGCCACGAAACAGCCUUCUAGCGUCGUCCCAACACACGUUUUCCAUCCCUCAUCUUAUUGUCUCCUUUGCUCUCCGUACGAAGCAAUAUUGAGUUAUUUGAGGAAAAAAAAAAAAC
rnacentral:lncRNA from 1 species